UGGGGAAUAUUGGACAAUGGGCGAAAGCCUGAUCCAGCCAUGUCGCAUGAGUGAAGAAGGCCUUUGGGUUGUAAAGCUCUUUUAGUGAGGAAGAUAAUGACGGUACUCACAGAAGAAGUCCUGGCUAACUCCGUGCCAGCAGCCGCGGUAAUACGGAGAGGGCUAGCGUUAUUCGGAAUUAUUGGGCGUAAAGGGCGCGUAGGCUGAUUAAUAAGUUAAAAGUGAAAUCCCGAGGCUUAACCUUGGAAUUGCUUUUAAAACUAUUAAUCUAGAGAUUGAAAGAGGAUAGGGGAAUUCCUGAUGUAGAGGUAAAAUUCGUAAAUAUUAGGAGGAACACCAGUGGCGAAGGCGUCUAUCUGGUUCAAAUCUGACGCUGAGGCGCGAAGGCGUGGGGAGCAAACA
rnacentral:rRNA from 1 species